UUCACCUGGUCUGGAGAAAGGCCUGUGCUCUCGUUCACGCUGAAGUAGGCCAGGCAGUCUUCCGUAUCCUUAGUGUGUGCGUUCUCCAUUCUGUCUUCUCAAAGGGGAGGCUUCACAAAAAGACAACACAAGAGAUGUAGGGCUGACAGAAAGUGCAAACUUUCACCCAUCACCGUAGAGUUUAUAAAGACAGCGGAGAGACCAUCACCCAGGUCACACCCAUAGGAGGCCCCCUAUUGGCUAAGAAGAGACGAAUAUAGUAUGGAAGAGGCGUGGCCUCGAGAAGAACUAUGAAGGGGUAUGAUUGGAGCAAUUGGACAACAACUGCAGUGGGGGUGUGCGCCUGACCCGGCCCGCGUACAGAGACACUGGUGCUGACAGCAAGACAGAUCAAGGGUAAGAGAAGAAGAAGAGAGGGAGUGUGAAAAGUCAAGAUGCAGAGAUGAAUCUGUAAGUUAAAUAUAAACGCUGAAGAGACAGAGAGAGAGAAAAGAAUAGAAGUAGUAAAAGACUUGAAGAGACAGACCAGGAGAGAAAUGUAAGGUGUAUAUAAGGAGAAAAGUGGCACUGUAACUAACAAAUACAAACCAUUUCUUAAACUAUUUUCUCUUCCUUACUUAUUUAUUAUGUACACAAUUCAAUUUGAAUGAUCAUUUCAUAAACACCUCUCAUAUGCAUAAUCACACACAGAAACAGAUGUGAUCUUAUGCUUCAUACACACAUUUACAGUAUGCUGCGUUCGUGUGUGUGCUAAACAAGUGUGUGACAGGUGUUAAACAGGAAUGGUGUUAAACUUUCAACACUGUCCCUAUUCUUAGGUAUUUGAAUCUGUGGCACCAAAGUAACGUCCUGUAAUGCAGUCUUUAAUGACUAUCAUCUUUUCAUAUGCACACACACGUGUAUUGUUUUAAAUUAUUAUGACAGUAGUUUAAGCAUAAACACCAUGUAUUUGUUUAAUUUGUAUUAAUUGUAGGCUAAGUAAAAUCCAGAGAUUGAAUAUUCCCCACAUCCAUAGCUUACCUUCAUUAUAGACGAAGAAGUUUAAAAUUACUACAAUACUAACUUGUAAAUCUGCUUUAUU